UACGUAGGGGGCAAGCGUUGUCCGGAUUCAUUGGGCGUAAAGAGCGUGUAGGCGGCCAGGUAGGUCGGUUGUGAAAACUGGAGGCUCAACCUUCAGAGGUCGACCGAAACCAUCUGGCUAGAGUCCGGGAGAGGAGACUGGAAUUCCUGGUGUAGCGGUGAAAUGCGCAGAUAUCAGGAGGAACACCGAUGGCGAAGGCAGGUCUCUGGGCCGAUACUGACGCUGAGGAGCGAAAGCGUGGGGAGCGAACAGG
rnacentral:rRNA from 1 species